rnacentral:lncRNA from 1 species
UUGCAAAGUGUGAACUAUUUCCUUUUUUCUUCAAUCUUAAUAACUUAUGCUGACAAAAUCUUAUUUUAGAAAAAAAAUAAAAUCAUGGCCUAUACUCUAAAUUCUUUUGUACUCUACUGUGUGCUCUCUUUAAGGAAGGCCAAGAGUCAAUGAAAUUAUUUCCAUUUCUAAAGCACUUGUAGUGAUUCAUUCUUUGAUAUUAUUACAUUUUUGUUAUUUUAAUAGUGAGGCAGUAAAUGAGUUUCUUCUUGCUUCGGAAUUUGACUUUGUUAAAUUUGAGUUUACAUGACUUUCAUUGCCUUUGAGUGUUGUAAAUGCCAUUUUAUUAGUUAUCGUUGAUUGGACUUCGUUUAAGGUUGGGUUUAGAUCAAUCAAAUUUCAUAUGGUUAUUUUUGUUUGUCUUAUAUUUAUGAGUAGAUGCUAACUAUUAUUUACGUGCUCUUUUCAUGUGAAAUAUCCCUCGAGUCUCCUUGGGCUCAUAUCUCUUCUCCUCGCAUUUUCCUAUUGGGCCAUAAAGGCCCAAUACUCUUGUUCACUGAGUCAGCCAGCAAGAGACUGAAGCACAGGCCCUG